UACGGAGGGCGCUAGCGUUGUUCGGAAUUACUGGGCGUAAAGCGCACGUAGGCGGCUUUUUAAGUCAGGGGUGAAAUCCCGGGGCUCAACCCCGGAACUGCCCUUGAAACUGGAGAGCUAGAAUCUUGGAGAGGCGAGUGGAAUUCCGAGUGUAGAGGUGAAAUUCGUAGAUAUUCGGAAGAACACCAGUGGCGAAGGCGACUCGCUGGACAAGUAUUGACGCUGAGGUGCGAAAGCGUGGGGAGCAAACAGG
rnacentral:rRNA from 1 species